GCUGGGUGCGGUGGUGCACACUUGUAAUCCCAGCAGCUCAGGAGGCUGAGGCAGGAGGAUUGCAGGUUCAAAGCCAGCCCCAGCAAAGACGAGGUGCUAAACAACUCAGUGAGACCCUGUCUCUU
rnacentral:sRNA from 1 species